rnacentral:rRNA from 1 species
UACAGAGGGGGCAAGCGUUGUUCGGAAUUACUGGGCGUAAAGGGCGCGUAGGCGGCCCGCUAAGUCGAACGUGAAAUCCCCGGGCUCAACCCGGGAACUGCGUCCGAUACUGGCAGGCUUGAAUCCGGGAGAGGGAUGCGGAAUUCCAGGUGUAGCGGUGAAAUGCGUAGAUAUCUGGAGGAAUCACCGGUGGCGAAGGCGGCAUCCUGGACCGGCAUUGACGCUGAGGCGCGAAAGCCAGGGGAGCGAACGGG